rnacentral:rRNA from 1 species
CCUACGGGGGGCAGCAGUGGGGAAUAUUGGGCAAUGGGCGAAAGCCUGACCCAGCAACGCCGCGUGAAGGAAGAAGGCUUUCGGGUUGUAAACUUCUUUUGACAGGGAAGAAAGUGACGGUACCUGAAAAAGAAGCUCCGGCUAAAUACGUGCCAGCAGCCGCGGUAAUACGUAUGGAGCAAGCGUUAUCCGGAUUUACUGGGUGUAAAGGGAGAGUAGGUGGCAGAGCAAGUCCGAAGUGAAAACCCAAAGCUCAACUAUGGGAAUGCUUUAGAAACUGCUCAGCUAGAGUGCAGGAGAGGCAAGUGGAAUUCUUAGUGUAGCGGUGAAAUGCGUAGAUAUCAGGAGGAAUACCGUUAGCGAAGGCGGCAAUCUGGCUGGAAACUGACGCUGAGGUGCGAAAGCGUGGGUAGCAAACAGGAUUAGAUACCCCAGUAGUC